ensembl:snRNA U6 U6 spliceosomal RNA
AUGCUCGUUCCGGCAGCACAUAUACUAAAAUUGGAACGAUCUAGAGAAGAUUAGCAUGGACCUUGCGCAAGGAUGACAGAAUUAUCUAGCAAGGCAUCAUUUCUAUAU